rnacentral:rRNA from 1 species
CCCGAAAGGGUGGCUAAUACCGGAUAACGCCCCCACUGGCACAGGCCAGAGAGGGAAAAGCCUUGGCGCUUCGAGAUGGGCUCGCGUCCCAUUAGCUAGUUGGUGAGGUAACGGCUCACCAAGGCGAAGAUGGGUAGCUGGUCUGAGAGGAUGAUCAGCCACACUGGAACUGAGACACGGUCCAGACUCCUACGGGAGGCAGCAGUGGGGAAUAUUGCGCAAUGGGCGAAAGCCUGACGCAGCAACGCCGCGUGGGUGAAGAAGGUCUUCGGAUCGUAAAGCCCUGUCAGGAGGGACGAAACAAAUGACGGUACCUCCAAAGGAAGCACUGGCUAACUCCGUG